GAUGAACGCUGGCGGCGUGCCUAACACAUGCAAGUCGAGCGAUUCUCUUCGGAGAAGAGCGGCGGACGGGUGAGUAACGCGUGGGUAACCUGCCCUGUACACACGGAUAACAUACCGAAAGGUAUGCUAAUACGAGAUAAUAUGCUUUUAUCGCAUGGUAGAAGUAUCAAAGCUUUUGCGGUACAGGAUGGACCCGCGUCUGAUCAGCUAGUUGGUAAGGUAACGGCUUACCAAGGCGACGAUCAGUAGCCGACCUGAGAGGGUGAUCGGCCACAUUGGAACUGAGACACGGUCCAAACUCCUACGGGAGGCAGCAGUGGGGAAUAUUGCACAAUGGGCGAAAGCCUGAUGCAGCAACGCCGCGUGAGCGAUGAAGGCC
rnacentral:rRNA from 1 species